CUCGGGUGAAGGAACUAGGCAAAAUGGUGCCGUAACUUCGGGAGAAGGCACGCUGACACGUAGGUGAAGUGGUUUACCCAUGGAGCUGAAGUCAGUCGAAGAUACCAGCUGGCUGCAACUGUUUAUUAAAAACACAGCACUGUGCAAACACGAAAGUGGACGUAUACGGUGUGACGCCUGCCCGGUGCCGGAAGGUUAAUUGAUGGGGUCAGCGCAAGCGAAGCUCCUGAUCGAAGCCCCGGUAAACGGCGGCCGUAACUAUAACGGUCCUAAGGUAGCGAAAUUCCUUGUCGGGUAAGUUCCGACCUGCACGAAUGGCGUAAUGAUGGCCAGGCUGUCUCCACCCGGGACUCAGUGAAAUUGAACUCGCUGUGAAGAUGCAGUGUACCCGCGGCAAGACGGAAAGACCCCGUGAACCUUUACUAUAGCUUGACACUGAACACUGGUCCUUGAUGUGCAGGAUAGGUGGGAGGCUUUGAAGUGUGGACGCCAGUCUGCAUGGAGCCAUCCUUGAAAUACCACCCUUUAAUGGCUGGUGUUCUAACGUGGGCCCGUGAACCGGGUUGCGGACAGUGUCUGGUGGGUAGUUUGACUGGGGCGGUCUCCUCCUAAAGAGUAACGGAGGAGCACGAAGGUUGGCUAAUCCUGGUCGGACAUCAGGAGGUUAGUGCAAUGGCAUAAGCCAGCUUGACUGCGAGCGUGACGGCGCGAGCAGGUGCGAAAGCAGGUCAUAGUGAUCCGGUGGUUCUGAAUGGAAGGGCCAUCGCUCAACGGAUAAAAGGUACUCCGGGGAUAACAGGCUGAUACCGCCCAAGAGUUCAUAUCGACGGCGGUGUUUGGCACCUCGAUGUCGGCUCAUCACAUCCUGGGGCUGAAGUAGGUCCCAAGGGUAUGGCUGUUCGCCAUUUAAAGUGGUACGCGAGCUGGGUUUAGAACGUCGUGAGACAGUUCGGUCCCUAUCUGCCGUGGGCGCUGGAAGAUUGAGGGGGGCUGCUCCUAGUACGAGAGGACCGGAGUGGACGCAUCACUGGUGUUCGGGUUGUCAUGCCAAUGGCACUGCCCGGUAGCUACAUGCGGAAGAGAUAAGUGCUGAAAGCAUCUAAGCACGAAACUUGCCCCGAGAUGAAUCUUCCCUGAGCCUUUAAGGCUCCUGAAGGAACGUUGAAGACGACGACGUUGAUAGGCCGGGUGUGUAAGCGCAGCGAUGCGUUGAGCUAACCGGUACUAAUGAACCGUGAGGCUUAACCUUACAACGCCGAA
rnacentral:rRNA from 1 species